UGAGGAAUAUUGGACAAUGGGCGCAAGCCUGAUCCAGCCAUGCCGCGUGCAGGAUGACGGUCCUAUGGAUUGUAAACUGCUUUURCACAGGAAGAAACAACWUUACGUGUARUGUCUUGACGGUACUGURAGAAUAAGGAUCGGCUAACUCCGUGCCAGCAGCCGCGGUAAUACGGAGGAUCCAAGCGUUAUCCGGAAUCAUUGGGUUUAAAGGGUCCGUAGGCGGUUUAGUAAGUCAGUGGUGAAAGCCCAUCGCUCAACGGUGGAACGGCCAUUGAUACUGCUAGACUUGAAUUAUUAGGAAGUAACUAGAAUAUGUAGUGUAGCGGUGAAAUGCUUAGAGAUUACAUGGAAUACCAAUUGCGA
rnacentral:rRNA from 1 species